rnacentral:lncRNA from 1 species
UAUUAAUCAGACUUUCGAUAUUCAAUAUCCAGAUAGUAGUAUCACAAACAAAGAAAUUACAAGGAGUUAUUAUAUAAGUAUCUUGUGAAGUAACUGCUUGCUUCUUUCUCUUAUUCUUAAGCCUGUUUGGAUCAUGGGUGGCUAUAUAAGCAGGACAAUUUCUCUUCCAAUGAUCCAGCUUCUUACAAAAGAAGCAUUCUGUCUGGCUCUUAUUAACUUUUGAUGAUUUACUCUGCUU